rnacentral:rRNA from 1 species
GACGAACGCUGGCGGCGUGCCUAAUACAUGCAAGUCGAGCGGACUUGAAGAGAAGCUUGCUUCUCUGAUGGUUAGCGGCGGACGGGUGAGUAACACGUAGGCAACCUGCCUGUAAGACUGGGAUAACUACCGGAAACGGUAGCUAAUACUGGCUAGGUGAUUUUCUCGCAUGGGGGAGUCAAGAAAGACGGAGCAAUCUGUCACUUACGGAUGGGCCUGCGGCGCAUUAGCUAGUUGGUGAGGUAAUGGCUCACCAAGGCGACGAUGCGUAGCCGACCUGAGAGGGUGGACGGCCACACUGGGAAUGAGACACGGCCCAGACUCCUACGGGAGGCAGCAGUAGGGAAUCUUCCGCAAUGGACGAAAGUCUGACGGAACAACGCCGCGUGAGUGAUGAAGGUUUUCGGAUCGUAAAGCUCUGUUGCCAGGGAAGAACGUCUUAGAGAGUAACUGCUCUAAGAGUGACGGUACCUGAGAAGAAAGCCCCGGCUAACUACGUGCCAGCCGCCGCUGUAA